GAUGAACGCUGGCGGCGUGCCUAAUACAUGCAAGUCGAGCGAACAGACGAGGAGCUUGCUCCUCUGACGUUAGCGGCGGACGGGCGAGUAACACGUGGAUAACCUACCUAUAAGACUGGGAUAACUUCGGGAAACCGGAGCUAAUACCGGAUAAUAUAUUGAACCGCAUGGUUCAAUAGUGAAAGACGGUUUUGCUGUCACUUAUAGAUGGAUCCGCGCCGCAUUAGCUAGUUGGUAAGGUAACGGCUUACCAAGGCAACGAUGCGUAGCCGACCUGAGAGGGUGAUCGGCCACACUGGAACUGAGACACGGACCAGACUCCUACGGGAGGCAGCAGUAGGGAAUCUUCCGCAAUGGGCGAAAGCUUGACGGAGCAACGCCGCGUGAGUGAUGAAGGUCUUCGGAUCGUAAAACUCUGUUAUUAGGGAAGAACAAAUGUGUAAGUAACUAUGCACGUCUUGACGGUACCUAAUCAGAAAGCCACGGCUAACUACGUG
rnacentral:rRNA from 1 species